UACGGAGGGUGCAAGCGUUAAUCGGAAUUACUGGGCGUAAAGCGCACGUAGGUGGUUUUCUAAGUCAGCUGUGAAAUCCCCGGGCUCAACCUGGGACUUGCAGUUGAAACUGGAAAGCUAGAGUAGGGUAGAGGGGUGUGGAAUUCCAGGUGUAGCGGUGAAAUGCGCAGAUAUCAGGAAGAACACCCGUGGCUAAGGCGGCUCUCUAGUACGGUACUGACGCUGAGGCGCGAAAGCGUGGGGAGCGAACAGG
rnacentral:rRNA from 1 species